UAGGACCUCUGCCAUUGUGCAUUAUCGGCAACAGCAACGUGGGUCCAGCCUCAGUGACACAACUCAGGCUGAGACUGGGCAGAAUAAAAACAUGGUGGAGGGAAGGAUUUGAGACCUUGAUUUCCUUAGAAUUUAAUUUCUCUAUGGAAAUUAAUGGAAGUUCAUAUUGCUCAUCUGUGGGGUAUUUUCUAAUGCUGCCAUUCAUUUAGGUUAUUUAUUUUUUUGGUUUUCAUGUGGUACUCACUGUAAAACCUUCUCUGAUGAAUGCAUCUGGCCGUGAUGUGAAGUGGGAAAUAGAAUGAAUUUCGGCCUUGGGGGAAACUCAACUAUAAGGGAACAGAUAAAAGGUAGCAGUGAUUAGGAUGGCCCAGAAGGAGUAUGUUGAAUGAAAGGAGAAGAGAGCCAUGGAUAUAACUUAAGAGAACAGCAACUCUUUUUAAGGGGCAGAUGACUGAAGAGAAGCCAGAGGAAAAAGCAUGCAAAACCGAGUGCAUUGGACUAAACAGCCAGGGUCAGGCCUGUGUCUGUCGUGACCUAGCUGUGCAACCCUGACCAAGAGAAAAAUAGCCCCAUAAUACCCUGGCUCCUGUAGAGACCUGCCUUCAGGCUGGAUUUCUUCAACAACUUGUCGACUCACUUUUCAAUCUGCCUAUUCAAUUGAAGAUUACCAAUUUGGGAAUGAGGAAGGAAAAGCAGUCAUCUGAAGGAUUCCGUGACGAACUCCUCAGAUCCGCCCACCACCCAC